AGUGAACGCUGGCGGUAGGCCUAACACAUGCAAGUCGAACGGCAGCACAGUAAGAGCUUGCUCUUACGGGUGGCGAGUGGCGGACGGGUGAGGAAUACAUCGGAAUCUACUUUUUCGUGGGGGAUAACGUAGGGAAACUUACGCUAAUACCGCAUACGACCUACGGGUGAAAGCAGGGGAUCUUCGGACCUUGCGCGAUUGAAUGAGCCGAUGUCGGAUUAGCUAGUUGGCGGGGUAAAGGCCCACCAAGGCGACGAUCCGUAGCUGGUCUGAGAGGAUGAUCAGCCACACUGGAACUGAGACACGGUCCAGACUCCUACGGGAGGCAGCAGUGGGGAAUCUUGGACAAUGGGCGCAAGCCUGAUCCAGCCAUACCGCGUGAGUGAAGAAGGCCUUCGGGUUGUAAAGCCCUUUUGUUGGGAAAGAAAAGCAGCAGGUUAAUACCCCGCGGUUCUGACGGUACCCAAAGAAUAAGCACCGGCUAACUUCGUG
rnacentral:rRNA from 1 species